rnacentral:lncRNA from 1 species
AAUUAGUGAAAAGUUUGUUCCAUUUUGUUCUAAAAAAAGGUCCCACCAAAUAGUGAGUACAUUUAAAUGCAAUAAUAAUCCAUUUCAUGUCCUUUAUGAGACUUGCAAAUAAAAUAAAAAACCAUCAUCAAAUUUUCAUUUUUCUCUUGGUAUUUUGGGAGUUUGAAUUAACAAUGAAGUAACAAGGUAUGCAUGGCUUAGUUUGUGAAAAAUAUAUGCGAGAAAGAACACAUAUAUUUGUAUGCUAAGAUGCUGUAACUAAGAUUCAACAAAGGUCUUCAUAGGUUUCCAUUUAGUGCACAGACACUCUCCAUAAAGCAGAUAUGAUACUAAAUCACUGAAAAUGUUACUGGGAUUUCUCAAUCAAGUCAUGUGAAACAUUAUUACAAUAGCAUUUAUUGACUUGUACUAGCUGCAAACUUGUCCAUCAUUCUAAAAAGCUAAGAGUUUUAGAUAAUCAUAAAGAACCCCAGAACAGACUCAGCGUAACAAUGCCAAUGGAAAUACAUAACCUUAUUAGUAACAAGAACACACCGAAAUUCACCCCUAGCGCAUCAUCAUCAAAAUCAAUAUCAUGACUAGAUCUACUGUAUCUUCCAUCAGCUUGUGUAUACGCAUAUAUCAAGCACAAGUCACUGAAAUUCGUCAAAGUUCUAUUCCUGUAUACCUGUGCAUCCGGUUGACCCUGCAAAUCCAUUAUAAUAAAAUAAGAGCAUAUAAAAAUGCAAAAACCUCGACAUAAACAAGAACAUCAUCCCCACCUUGAUAUAUGCAUUCCAUACAUGUGGAGGGGCAACUACCAAUUUCCUUGUAUCAUCCCAACUAAACCCGUUUUGUUCGAGAAGAUUCUUCACAUCAUUAUACUGCUUCCACAAAUUGGUAUAAUGACUUUUCAAAGUGUCCCUAUCGUAUUUACACCCAAAUUUCGCAUUGAAAAUAGAUAACAUAUCAGUCCAAGCUUGUUUAUUAAAUGUAUGGCCUAAUCUAUUACCCCUAUGCAUUUGAUCUAACAUAAGAUCAAUGAAAAACCGUUCCAUUGUCGGCGUCCAAUUUGUUCUUGUUCUAUCACUGCUACUAGGUGCAUUGCUCCCCAUUCUCCCCCCUACUAAUACAAAAAAGCUUCAUUAAUUUCUUAAUUUAGAAUUACAGUACCUUAAAAAGUUGAAAUUUAAGCGACAACUUACAAGCCCAUAAAAUUCAAAGCUAAUAUAAGCUCAAAUGAAAUAAAAAUUGAAAAGAUAAGAAAAAGCUAGUAAAUUUUUUGUUCAAAAAGAUAUCUGCAAAAAGGGCAUUAAUAAUUGUUUAGUUUAAGGUUUCUACUACCUAAGAGCUUCAAGCAGACAUAUUCUAUCUAAAUUAAGUUGAGAUAACAUUAAAUUAGCUCUAACAUCUAAAAUUGAAAACUUUAUAACUUUUUUUUUUUGUCUUUUCCAGCAUUAUCCCACUAGUGAUACGAAAAAAUAAGCGAAACUAUUAGUAAAAAAUAAGCAAAAAAAAAAAUUGAACCUUGGUACCUUUGGGUUUUUUGUCAGAGAUUUCGCGUACGAAAAUUUUAUUUCAAUUUCCGGGAAAUUUGAUCAGGAGUGUGUUUUGCGGGUGCUUUAGAUUCCAACCAAAAAGAUCAUGAAAGAAUGGGUGCUUUUGAUUGAAAGCUUGAAGGAGAAACUACAGCCUGUUUGGUUGCUGAGAAAAUGGGUAGUUAACAGGCAAGAAAGUUCUCAGAAGUGGGCUCAAAAAGCACUUCAAUUGGACCCUUUCAGCCCAAAAACCUGAAGAUUGGACCCAAGGAUCCAACACUUUAUUUAUAAAGAAACUAUUUAAUCAGAUGCGUUGCGACAUAUUUGAAUUCACAUGCCAAUCGAAUUAAGACUCAAUCACAAUAGUUUAAAAACUUAAGAUUUUGAAUAUCCAUAUGUUUUUAUAUUUUAUUAAGUUAUAAAUGUGUUAAAAUAUUUUGACUUAUACAAUUUUUGAUAAUUUAAUAAUUUCUAUUAUAUAAUUUUUAGAUUAUUUGUAAUUUUAGAUCUUAUGUUGUGUGAUUUUUAUAUGAUAAGAAAGUUUAGAAAUACGGAGAGCAAUUCCUUUUCAGAAUUAAUCAUUUUGAUUACAUUUCCAAAAAAAAGUGAAAGGGCCAAAGCACAGAGAGAUGGCCUUUAUUGCAAUACACAUUUACAUACAUAGAUCAAUACAUACACAUAUAUGUGUAUGUAUAGCUCUAAUUAUUCCGUUUAUCACAUUGGGGUAGUGGAAACUUAAACCAAGCAAAAGUGACCCUUGGGAAGCUUGCACUUUUGUUUUUAUGGAAUAGCAGUGAAGUUGAAAUUAUUGCAAGAAGUCUUGUAGAACAACAGGGAAGAACUGAAACCAAGCCUUGAUCUUGCCAUAUCAAACUGUACCAGAUUAUUCUCCAUUUGGUAAGCCCCAAUAAUAAUCGAAGCUCCAUUGUUCUUCAUUCCUCCAUCCACAAAAGCUAAGCAAGACACUCCUGGUGCAGCUUCAACAAGGGAGUUUGCUCCAUAAAUCCUCCACAUAACAUGCUUGUCAUGGAGCACAAGGUCGAUGUUAGGAACCCCUGGUCCAACCCUGCUGUUUUUGAAUCUUUUCGAGUUGAAACAGGCACCGAAUGGCGCAACUGGUUUUACUUGGGGAAUAGCAGAGAGCUCCUUGGAGAAAAUUUGUGUGACAGCUUUAAAGAUUGAGUGGUGUAGAAUGGUGUAAGGGUUGAUUGUGCUGAGCUUCGUGCCUCCGACGCCUUGUUUAUUGAUCGAUAACAGCGCUGUGUCUAUCGGGACAUCCUUGUCGUUUAUCUUGAUUGAUUUAACUUCCAUGUAGUACUCUCCUAGGGGACUGAUGAUAAGUGGAGUGUAGCUUAAUGGUCGUGUUAUAUCAACAUUAGGCAGCAUAUAAUAAGGGCUGUCCCCAAAGAACAUGACACCUUUAGGGGCUAAACAAAGGGCAAACGUUGGGGCAAAACCAGCAGACCCAAAGUGUGAGGCCAGUUGAGUUGGUAGAGAAAUGGGGGAAUGUCCCAAUCCAGCCACCCCUUGAACAGUACUUGGUAACCCUCUUUGCAGUAAAAGGGAAGGUGCACAAGUGAACAAGAACUGAGGGACCCUAACCAUUGGACCAGGGUUAGACCCUUGAGUGGAUUGAAUUGAUAGCACAUCUUGUGCAAGAUCACUCAUGGCGGUAAGGCCUGUCACAGGGUUCAUUGACAUGACCCCACAUGUGUUGUUAUGGCACCCUGGUCCAUCCCUGGUGGAGCAUAUGUGGCAAUAGUGACUGUCAGCUCUAGAGCAUUGAGUCGAGCGGCACCUAGGGGCAUGGUAGGUGGACGAACAGUAACUUUUCUCACAAGUAACCCAUAGUAACCUUCCAUUCAAGUCCACAACAAAUGGGACUUUCUGUGAAGGAGUUCUCUUGUAUAUGUUAGUCACAUAAAGUUUAGUUUUCGGAUCUUUUUGCAGCUGCAAAACGAACCUGUUCGGUUUCGAAGUCUUUUGAGAUUCAGAUAAAAGGAUGAAAGAAGAAACGGAAAGGAAAAUGAGAAGGAAAAGAAGGAAAGAAGAAGCCAUGAAAGCUCAAUGCCUGCACAGUGAUGCAAGAAGAGGGUAAGCGGUGAGGAAAUAAAGGGGGAAAAUGGAGUUACUUAUAGGCAAAUUGAGUUCUUAAAAUCUAGUCAUAUUUUUGGGUGAUCCAAGCAUUGUUCAUGUGAAAGUUUUAGGCAUUAUAUGCAUUUGGCAAGCAGAAGAUGAAAGUUAGGCAGGCUAAAGUUAGGAAAAUUCAGGCUAAAAGAUGGACCCCAAAGCAAAGGAACAAAAUUGAAUUGGAAAGUGUGGAAGGCACUUGGCAAUGGCUUAGAGCUUCUACAGCCGUGCCAUCAACACAUACAAGGACUUCAUGGGUUUGGCUUGGCUUGGACUGAACUGGAAUUUGAUAAAUUUCAUCUUUAAUUUCUCAAGCAUGUUAAUUUCUAACAUAUGGACAAAUAUGACCUUAUGGUAGAUAGAAGUUUGUACGUAAGGGAACCCUACUGGGAUUUCUGGGAUUUCUCAAUCAAGUCAUGUGAAACAUUAUUACAAUAGCAUUUAUUGACUUGUACUAGCUGCAAACUUGUCCAUCAUUCUAAAAAGCUAAGAGUUUUAGAUAAUCAUAAAGAACCCCAGAACGGACUCAGCGUAAC